rnacentral:rRNA from 1 species
GUUGACCUCGGAUCAGGUAGGAAUACCCGCUGAACUUAAGCAUAUCAAUAAGCGGAGGAAAAGAAACCAACAGGGAUUGCCCUAGUAACGGCGAGUGAAGCGGCAACAGCUCAAAUUUGAAAUCUGGCUUUCGGGCCCGAGUUGUAAUUUGUAGAGGAUACUUUUGAUGCGGUGCCUUCCGAGUUCCCUGGAACGGGACGCCAUAGAGGGUGAGAGCCCCGUCUGGUUGGAUGCCAAAUCUCUGUAAA